CUAGAAAAAUGAUCGAGCCGGGGGGACGUAGGUUUAGGGACCAGGCGGGGACAAAGCUCGUACCACAGACGCAAACGUCGUUGCGCGUCUCCCGCCCGCCGAACGCCGUUGAUCGGAACGUCGCGAGCGGCAGCAACACAAGUACCUCCGGCCGGCGGCCGCUCUCUAGCCUCUCGACGCCGCGCCGCCUCGGACGCUACGCGCGCGCCUCUCUGUCUCUCGCUCUCUCUACAAAAACCGCCCGUUUCGAGAGGUGGUCUCGGACACCUGCUUACCUAUUCCAACCAGUCACCCAGCACCGCCCGCACGCACCGGUUGUCGUUUUCCCCCGCGCGAGCACACGCUGGGUGGGCUGGCUAGGGCGCGCGUGCAUCGGCCGGCGGCUAAGGGUGGAGGAAGGAACGCCUAUUCGGAGACGGCGGCGGCCGGAUCGCCGUGUCGGGUGCUACCGGUGAGUCUCUCGUCGGUGCCGCCGCACCUGGUUGCUCCUCCUGUUCCGCAAGCUCUUGCGCCACCGUAGGCCACGUGGCGGCGGCGACCUGCCGCACGGCCUCCUCCUGACCAAGCGCCGCGAGCGCCGCUCGCACGGCCGCGCCAGCUGCCUCCUCCACGCCGCGGUGAUGCUCCGGGACCACCUCCUGCAGCCGCGCUAGCUGCGGCCGGCGCAGGGGGAGGGCGCGAUGCGGCCCCUCCUGAGGUGGGGACGGCGGCGUCGCCGCGGAUCGUUCCUGGCCGCGCUCCUAGCCUUCUCGAAGCUGAGGCUGAGGCCGUUCCCGACGAGGUUCCGGCUCGUCCUCGCCGCGUUCCCGUAGGGCACCUGCCUCCUCCUCGUGUCCGACAAGAACGACCCCGACCUCUUCAAGCCGUUCCCGCUGACCGCCUCGUAGAGCGCGUUGAAGCAGUAGAGGGCCUGCGGGUGCGUCCACCGGUCGGUGCGCGUCUUCAUGAAGUAGGCGGAGUUGAGGUACUUGGCCCUGGCGGCGGCGAGGUCGUAGGUGCUGUAGUGGUCGUAGUUGUUGCGGCGGGUCCGGCACGGCGGGUAGUGGCCGGUCCGGGGGCGGCGCGAUCCCCCCGGCGGGCCCCCGUACUACUUCGUAGGGCCCUACCAGCCGUACAUGCCUCCCCGCGGGUACCCGGUGGGCCAGCGCCCGGUGUACCAGGGGCGGCGGCAGCCGUGCGGCCAGUACAAGGGCGGCCCCGGCCCGGUGGGCGGGAUGCGGUACGGGCAGCCGAUGGGCCGCGGCGUAGUCACUCGUACGGUACGAACGAGACCAAGCACGCGCGCGCCCCGUGCGGCCGUACGUACAGUCCGCGGAGCUACUUGGCGUGUUCGUAAAGAAGGAACAAGAAAGAACUAACUAAGUAAAACGCAGCGGCAGGCAAGGAGUAGGAGUAGACUAACGUCCCUACCCGCCGCUUAUUCAUUCAUAAACGACUGACAACGUUCACGAUCGAAUAUGAGGAUAUACUAGUGUCUGGGCCCUUUCCAACUCUCUCCAUUUACAUUAAUCGACGCCGGAGGGCUACACAUCGACAAGUACGAACAUCUCGACGCUGACCUCUGACUAAAGGUAAAUGGCCUACAUUUAAUGAACAUAGAAAUAUGAAACUGCACUUAUUUAAUGUGUACGUAGUUACGUACAGAGACGAGCAUAUUCGUACGUGGAAUUAAAGUGACAUUGUCGUUCCUUGCUUGAUUAGUAGAGACUUACGAAAGAAAACGGG
rnacentral:rRNA from 1 species